AUUGAACGCUAGCGGGAUGCUUUACACAUGCAAGUCGAACGGCAGCGCGGACUUCGGUCUGGCGGCGAGUGGCGAACGGGUGAGUAAUGUAUCGGAACGUGCCCAGUAGCGGGGGAUAACUACGCGAAAGCGUAGCUAAUACCGCAUACGCCCUACGGGGGAAAGCAGGGGAUCGUAAGACCUUGCACUAUUGGAGCGGCCGAUAUCGGAUUAGCUAGUUGGUGAGGUAACGGCUCACCAAGGCGACGAUCCGUAGCUGGUUUGAGAGGACGACCAGCCACACUGGGACUGAGACACGGCCCAGACUCCUACGGGAGGCAGCAGUGGGGAAUUUUGGACAAUGGGGGCAACCCUGAUCCAGCCAUCCCGCGUGUGCGAUGAAGGCCUUCGGGUUGUAAAGCACUUUUGGCAGGAAAGAAACGUCGCGGGCUAAUACCCCGUGGAACUGACGGUACCUGCAGAAUAAGCACCGGCUAACUAC
rnacentral:rRNA from 1 species